AUGCACAAAGAAUGAUGGGUCUGGUUGCCAGCCCAAACCCAACCCCUUAUUUUCUUAAAAACAGAAACCCUAAAGGGUUUAUUUAUCUUCCUCUCACACGCGACUCUUCCCUUGCGAAGUUCGCAGCCGUCGCACCACCACACCAUCACGCCACACCACCACGCCACCACGCAGCGGGCUUGCCAGCAACGCCAAUCCCCGUUGACGACGAGAGCCCGGAGACGUGCAAACUUCACUCUCCUCUCAAGUGCGACUCGAACCACCUUCGCGCGAGCACCCAACGCCAUUGCCAUCACUAGCGAUAGUCGAAGCUAGAGUCACCGUCGGCGGUCACUACCCUGACGCGAUUGCUCUUCUUCUCCACGAGAUCCUUGUCUCCGCAAGAUCCUUCCCGUUGUGCCCUCCGUCGAACCUCCACAGCCAACCAAGAUUGAGACUUCGCCGCCUCCGCCGUAGCUAGUCGAAGACACCACCAGCGACACCAGCUUCCCCUAGGGGCGUCUACGUCAAGAACCCAGGGAUGCUCGACCUUUGCUCUCGCAAGCGUGACUCGAAUUGCCUCCGCGCGACACCCAGGGCCGCCGACAAUUGUUUCCUUACUCUUUUUUAUCCAUCUGUUUUGAUUGGUUGUGGGUGAUUAGGGAAGAUGAGAUUAUAAUGUUUGGCACUAAAAUGGGGCUCUGCUUCGGUGUGAACUUGAAUUGUAGGGGUGGAGUUGUGAUUCUGGUUUUUUUUGCUUGUGCGUUCUAUGUGCAGGUUGAAAUGUGAUGUUGAGGUGGUGGUUCUAGGAAUGCUAUAGGAGUUGAAUGGGAUGUUGCGGGAUUCGAAUGGAGAAGGGUUUAUUGAUGAUGCCAACUCUAUUAGAGUGAACGAGCAGAGAAGGGUGAGCGGACGGGAACAAAAUAAAUAACAGACUUAACUAUGCUUAACUCAAAUCAUCUCCAAUUCAUAUAUUCAUGAACAUCAGUAUCAAGUCAUCAUCUCCAAUUCAUAUAUUCAUGAACAUCAGUAUCAAGUCAUAGUAACAAAAGCUAAGAAGUAGUUACCUUGAAGAUAAAACUCAAUGUAUUAACAGUUUGCUUCCA